rnacentral:rRNA from 1 species
GAUCCUGGCUCAGGAUGAACGCUGGCGGCGUGCCUAACACAUGCAAGUCGAGCGGAGAUAUAGAGAGAUUCUUCGGAUACUUUCUUAUCUUAGCGGCGGAUGGGUGAGUAACACGUGGGUAACCUGCCCUGCACAGGGGGAUAACAGCUGGAAACGGCUGUUAAUACCGCAUAUGCACACGCUGCCGCAUGGCAGAGGGUGGAAAGAUUUAUCGGUGCAGGAUGGGCCCGCGUCGGAUUAACUAGUUGGCAGGGUAACGGCCUACCAAGGUUAUGAUCCGUAGCCGACCUGAGAGGGUGACCGGCCACAUUGGGACUGAGACACGGCCCAAACUCCUACGGGAGGCAGCAGUGGGGGAUAUUGCACAAUGGGCGGAAGCCUGAUGCAGCGACGCCGCGUGAAGGAAGAAGUAUUUCGGUAUGUAAACUUCUAUCAGCGGGGAAGAAGAUGACGGUACCCGACUAAGAAGCCCCGGCUAACUACGUGCCAGCAGCCGC